UUAAAGGUGGAGUAGGCAGGAAUCCGUUAAAGAAGCAUCUUUUUUGUGGUGUAUUUACAAAAAACCUUUUAAUAUCAGUCAAUAGUUAUUAGUUAUUGAUGACAUUUGGUAAUAUAUCGAUAUCUCUGUGUUCUCUUAUGUCUGUGUUGUCAACAUUUGAAAUUCUGAGCGGUCCGCUCUUUCUGACUGUAAACAAAGCCGUUCUCCACCUCCUCUAACCUGAUUGGUUGUGAGGCAGACGCUGCUCCCCCGUGUCGUUCAGGAGCCCAAACAAAGUUAGCGUGCUACAAUAUCGGACAGUAGAAACCAACCAGAAAGUUCGGAAAAUUGUCUGAAUCCUCCUUUGGCCACGACUGCUGACACAAGCAAGAAAACAAAGUAAAUACCUG